rnacentral:rRNA from 1 species
AACGAACGCUGGCGGCAGGCUUAACACAUGCAAGUCGAGCGCCCCGCAAGGGGAGCGGCGGACGGGUGAGUAACGCGUGGGAACCUACCUAGAGGUGCGGAAUAACUCAGGGAAACUUGAGCUAAUACCGCAUGAGCCCGAGAGGGGAAAGAUUUAUCGCCUUUGGAUGGGCCCGCGUCAGAUUAGCUAGUUGGUGAGGUAACGGCUCACCAAGGCGACGAUCUGUAGCUGGUCUGAGAGGAUGAUCAGCCACAUUGGGACUGAGACACGGCCCAAACUCCUACGGGAGGCAGCAGUGGGGAAUAUUGGACAAUGGGCGCAAGCCUGAUCCAGCCAUGCCGCGUGAGUGAUGACGGCCUUAGGGUUGUAAAGCUCUUUCGACGGGGACGAUAAUGACGGUACCCGUAGAAGAAGCCCCGGCUAACUUCGUGCCAGCCGCCGCCGUAACAC